CGGGGCGUGGCGCAGCCCGGUAGCGCGCUGCAAUGGGGUUGCAGAGGUCCCCGGUUCGAAUCCGGGCGCCCCGA
rnacentral:tRNA from 1 species